AUUCCCAUGGCGUAGUGGUCACUGCGCUCGCCUUGCACGCGGGAGACCCGGGUUCGAGUCCCGGCGGGGUCA
rnacentral:tRNA from 1 species